AACGAACGCUGGCGGCAGGCUUAACACAUGCAAGUCGAACGCUCGUAGCAAUACGGGAGUGGCGGACGGGUGAGUAACGCGUGGGAACGUGCCCUGAGGUACGGAAUAACUGCGGGAAACUGCAGCUAAUACCGUAUGAGCCCCGUGAGGGGGAAAGAUUUAUCGCCUUAGGAGCGGCCCGCGUCGGAUUAGCUAGUUGGUGGGGUAACGGCUUACCAAGGCUUCGAUCCGUAGCUGGUCUGAGAGGACGAUCAGCCACACUGGGACUGAGACACGGCCCAGACUCCUACGGGAGGCAGCAGUGGGAAUCUUGCGCAAUGGGGGCAACCCUGACGCAGCCAUGCCGCGUGAAUGAUGAAGGCCUUAGGGUUGUAAAGUUCUUUUGCCCGUGACGAUGAUGACGGUAACGGGAGAAUAAGCUCCGGCUAACUUCGUG
rnacentral:rRNA from 1 species